CAUAGUGUGACUUCCCUAACUCUUUCCUCUCCAAAUCCAUCCAAGAAUUGAAGGGCUUCUUACUUUUCAUUCCUCUUCUUCUUCUUCCUAAACCUAAUUCUUCAGAUCUACUAACUUCAUAUUUUUAAUUUUGGCUUCUCUGAUUAAUUUCUUCACUCUUAUCCAAUUCUAUAUUUCAAAUUGUUGUUCAUAUCUUAAUUUCGAUAACAUUAAUUAUCGGAUAUAUAUAUAUAUAUUUGUUUUUAAUUAAACCUUUCUUGAUUGAUCAAAUCUUCACACUAUUAUUGAUUGUCUUUCACUGAUUCUAACUACUUUUUAAAUUUAUUAGGUAGUUCAGUUUAAAUUGAUGGUUAAAUCUGGCCAAACAAGAUCUUCAAUCUAUUCAAUACUUUUAUUUUUAUUUUUAUUAAUGUUUUUAGGGUUAUCUAAUAGCCACCCUUUUGAUAAAAAAAUUGAAGUUUUCAAAUAUAUUUUUUGAGCAAUGGAAAUGAAAAUAGGGUUCCUUUUGGUGAAAUGGAAAUAAGUUUCGAAAAUCGUUUAAAUUUAUUCGAUUUGUUAGUUAGCCAAUUAUUUCGCUUAACUUGUGUACUUCGAUUAGUUCUUGUCUUCUUCGAUUUGAAGGGUUUCUUUUCAAACUUGUGUUUACUAUUUGAGAUUAUUAUAUGUUCUUUUCGAGAUUUGAAUUGGGAUUAAAUGAAGUCGUUGAUUUCUAGUGUAGCAUCAUCAAAGAUUCACAUCUAAAUUAGGGUAUUGUGGUGAUAAUUUUUCAAAUAUAUAUAUAAAAUAUUUAUGCAUAAUGUUCAUCUUACUUCUUCAUAUGCCUCAUCUCUUCACUAAAGCCUUUAAAGUGGUGUGAAUCUUGAUGAUGCUGCAUUGGCAAUCAACGGCUAGCGUCGAACUAGCAGAAAAUCAACGGCCGCGAUUUAAGUCCACGGAAAUCCUCUCUUCUAUAAUCAAUGGGCUACGAUCCAGACAGACAGGAAUGGCAAACACCAAUCGUGUGAACUAAAUUAAAAUCAGCAGAUAAUCAAAUUAACUGGUACGUACAACGGGCGGUAAAAGUGUUCAGUUCAUUAGUUAAUCACCACAUAGAAACCAAGUACUUCUUAGGGCAUUGCUCUAUGUGGAUUAUUAUUCCAUAUUGUUAGUUCAUAUUAUGUAUUUGUAAUUAUACUACAGGUUGGCAAAUGUAUGUAUAUGUAUAUAUAUAUUAUAUGUUUGAUUGGUAUAGUGAUAAGAGAAUAUUUAUUACAA